rnacentral:rRNA from 1 species
ACGAAGGGUGCAAGCGUUACUCGGAAUUACUGGGCGUAAAGCGUGCGUAGGCGGUUUGUUAAGUCCGUUGUGAAAGCCCUGGGCUCAACCUGGGAAUUGCAGUGGAUACUGGCGAGCUAGAGUGCGGUAGAGGAUGGUGGAAUUCCUAGUGUAGAGGUGAAAUUCGUAGAUAUUAGGAAGAACACCGGUGGCGAAGGCGGCCCACUGGUCCGGUACUGACGCUGAGGUGCGAAAGCGUGGGGAGCAAACAGGA